rnacentral:rRNA from 1 species
AGUGAACGCUGGCGGUAGGCCUAACACAUGCAAGUCGAACGGCAGCACAGUAAGAGCUUGCUCUUACGGGUGGCGAGUGGCGGACGGGUGAGGAAUACAUCGGAAUCUACUUUUUCGUGGGGGAUAGCGUAGGGAAACUUACGCUAAUACCGCAUACGACCUACGGGUGAAAGCAGGGGAUCUUCGGACCUUGCGCGAUUGAAUGAGCCGAUGUCGGAUUAGCUAGUUGGCGGGGUAAAGGCCCACCAAGGCGACGAUCCGUAGCUGGUCUGAGAGGAUGAUCAGCCGCACUGGAACUGAGACACGGUCCAGACUCCUACGGGAGGCAGCAGUGGGGAAUAUUGGACAAUGGGCGCAAGCCUGAUCCAGCCAUACCGCGUGGGUGAAGAAGGCCUUCGGGUUGUAAAGCCCUUUUGUUGGGAAAGAAAAGCAGCAGGUUAAUACCCCGCUGUUCUGACGGUACCCAAAGAAUAAGCACCGGCUAACUUCGUG